AAGAAAAAGAAGAGUGUUGCAGAAAUAGCAUUGCUUGUUGAAAAUGUCAUGGCUGAGCUUGAAGUGGUGGCUGAAGAAGAUGCAGAAUUGAUUAGACAGUCAAAACUUGCUAUAAAUAAACCCAAAAGGCUGCCUCUCCUUAUGGAGGUUGUUCUCUCAAAUUUCCCAUUGAUUUAGAGCAUUAUGAUAGGAGAGAGCAACUGAAGAAGAGUGGUCUUGGGAAGGUCAGGAUUCUCCUUAUGAGGUUACUAUGUUUUUGUUGAAGUCUGAUGAGGAAACCACAGCCAACAGAAGAAUGGCAAAGACUUGGUUGAUAAAUGGGGAACCGAAGUCUAGCCAGUCAUCUUCCAUGCGUCUUGCUUUAAGGCCUGAAGCAAUGCCAAUGGAUUUUCUGGUCCGCCCCCAAUCCAAGAUUGAUCCAGAUGAGGUUAGGGCCUAUGCUAAACAGGUUGUGCAAGAUCAACACCUUCUGUAGGUUGGUCUUCCUCUCUUUGACACUUAAAAAUG